AGAGUUUGAUCCUGGCUCAGGACGAACGCUGGCGGUGUGCUUCACACAUGCAAGUCGAGCGAAUGAAGUAGGUAGCUUGCUACUUAUGGAUUUAGCGGCGGACGGGUGAGUAAUAUAUAGGAAUCUGCCUUAGAGCGGGGAACAACAGACCGAAAGGUUUGCUAAUGCCCCAUAGGUAUGCAGUCUUCGGAUUGUAUAUUAAAGGAGUAAUCCACUCUAAGAUGAGCCUGUAUCCGAUUAGCUAGUUGGCGGGGUAAAGGCCCACCAAGGCUACGAUCGGUAGUUGGUCUGAGAGGAUGAUCAGCCACAAUGGGACUGAGACACGGCCCAUACUCCUACGGGAGGCAGCAGUGGGGAAUUUUACACAAUGGGGGAAACCCUGAUGUAGCGACACCGCGUGAACGAAGAAGCCUUUUGGGGUGUAAAGUUCUGUCGGCUGGAACGAAAAAAAUGACGGUACCAGCAAAGGAAGCAUCGGCUAACUACGUGCCAGCAGCCGCGGUAAGACGUAGGAUGCAAGCGUUGUCCGGAUUUAUUGGGCGUAAAGAGUUCGUAGGCGGUUAUUUAAGUCUGAUGUUAAAUACUGUGGCCCAACCACAGAACUGCAUUGGAUACUGGAUGACUUGAGUGCGGUAGAGGCAAGUGGAAUUCCCAGUGUAGCGGUGAAAUGCGUAGA
rnacentral:rRNA from 1 species